rnacentral:tRNA from 1 species
AGGGGCGUAGUUAAAUGGUAUAACGAAGGUCUCCAAAACCUUAGUCGAGGGUUCGAUUCCUUCCGCCCCUGCCA